UACGAAGGGGGGCUAGCGUUGUUCGGAAUUACUGGGCGUAAAGCGCGUGUAGGCGGGUCUUUAAGUCAGGGGGUGAAAUGCCAAGGCUCAACCUUGGAACUGCCUUUGAUACUGAGGAUCUUGAGGCCGGGAGAGGUGAGUGGAAUUCCCAGUGUAGCGGUGAAAUGCGUAGAUAUUGGGAGGAACACCAGUGGCGAAGGCGGCUCACUGGACCGGUUCUGACGCUGAGGCGCGAAAGCGUGGGGAGCAAACGGG
rnacentral:rRNA from 1 species